AUGGCUGGAAUGUUUAUUCAUUAUCUUCCAGUAAUAAACCUGCUUUUCCUGCAAGCUCGUUAUUUACUCAUAUAUAUUUUGUGUGACAGGGAAGCUUUUUAUUUGUGUCAGUCAAGGAUGGAGUUUAAGCACACGAAAAAGACAAGCUUUUCGGUCAGGAGGAAAACAAAAAAUGGGAAAGAAAAGAAACUUUCAAUGAAAAAAAUAGAGCAGACAGAUGUGAACCUUCCACCAGAGGAACAGGCAUCUGGAGUUCCUGAUCUCAUUGCUCUAGAUGCUGAAGCACUUAACAAGAGAGUGCUUCAUGCUCUCAAAACAAUUUUGAGUGAUGAAUCAACCUCUGAGGACUUUGAUGCUGCAGUUGAGGUGCUGAAAACAUUGAGCAAACUGAAUAACAACUAUUCUCAAGACGGGCUUUUUGAGUACCUUCAAGAAAUAAAUCAGUUUGUGGAGAACCACUUUCCCACGCUGCCAGCAGAGGGACCACGGGGAUCUCAGUUGGAGCCGAUACAGGACUUUCAGAGAACACAGAGCAUGAUAAAUGAUAAGGUGCUUCGAUUAACACCUGCACUGAAAGAUGCUGGGCUGCUAGAUCAUCUGAUGGACAGUUACAGCCGUCACCUCUUUACCAACCUGGACCUGCUGCUAAACAGAGAUCUGUCUGUGAAAGAGAUCUUCUGCCUUCUGCUGUGGGGAAAAGAUGUUUUCUUCAGUUCAGACUCACAGCAUUUCUUCAGAGUGCACGACCCUCUGCUGUUGACAAAUUGGUUUGAGAGAGCAACGAAGAAACUGCUGCCAAAACUAAAGAAUGACAUCUCCACGACUCUACAGAACAUCCUGGACUAUGAUGCGCAAAAUAGACCAAAUGGAGACUCAAUGGAUGAAGAAACGUUCAUCAGAGUUCACUUAGAUGUCACUAAAUGUCUGAAUGCUGUUAUACAGAGUUCUAAGGAAUUUAGUCACACGUUGAUGUGUGCGGCACAAACACUCUGUCUUAAAGAGCUUCAUCAUUUUGUUCAGGAGUAUGUGCAUGCAGAGAAAAAACGCCUGGAAAAACAACAACCCCUGAAGAAAAAUCCUGUGCAUCUGUUUCGGCUCAUCAGCACCUGUAGACAACUCAGGUGAUUUCUAUUUUUAAAGAUUAAUAUAUUUAUACAUUUAUAAAACCUGUCAGUGUAUAAUUAACUGACAUUUCCCUGUGCAUAAUUUUCUGAUUUAUCCUGCAUUAGAUUCAUAAAUUCAUUUUGUCAUAAAAACAGCCUUAUGCAUAUAUUUAUUUUGCUGUAGAUUUUUUGCUCCUCAACUCAACAAUCCAGAUAUAAACAACAGUGACGACCUCUCAAAAAUUAUCUGCAUGUUAGAGGAGAUGGAGGAUCACGCUCUGUCUAUUGUACAGAAGAUGAUGAAAGACGUUGCACAGGUAACAUCAUUUCAUCAUAAACAGUUUAUGUACAGAAGGAAAGUUGAGGACUUUCCCAGAUUCCAAAAAGGGAAUGUCUCAGUCAUCAAUAGAGGUUAAUAUUUGUUUGCUUACAUACCUGCUUAUCAGGUUUUUCAACAAUGAAUAGGUAACUCUUUGUAAUAAGGUUGAGUUUGUUACGUAGUAAAUCCAUUAGGUAUUAUGAACUAACAUUGAGCAAUACUUUUUAAACCUAGAGUUCAGUUUCAGUUUAAUUUAUUUACAUAGCACAUUUAAUAACGAAAGAGCCGACCAAAGUGCUGAACAGAAAAUAGAACAAAACUAAUAACAAUAAAACAAAAAAGAAUAAAAGAAAACACAAAGUACACAACACUAAAUUCACACAAAAUAAAACUGUAUACAGCAGUUACUCCAGUCCAUAAGACAUUUUAAAAAGAUAUGUCUUAAGUAAAGAUUUAAAAACCGGAACAGAAGUGGCUGAUCUGCCACAGAAAAUGCACGAUCCCCCUUGUGUUUUAAGCGUUUCCUAUUAACAGACAGCAACAGAGUGUUUGAUGACCUUAAUGGCCCAUCGAUCUGAUAAUGGGAGAGAAGAUCAGAUGAGUAGUUUGGUGCCAAGCCUGUCAGGGACUUAUAAACAAACAAUAAUACCUUAAACUAGAUUCUAUACUCAUGGGGGAACCAGUACAAACUAGCCAAAACAGGUGUAAUAUUUUCCCCCUUCCUAGUCCUAGUUAAAAGUCUGGCUGCAGCAUUUUGGACCAACUGAAGGCGAGACAAACAAGAUUGAGUGACCCCUAAAUAUAGUAAAUUACAAUAGUCCAGUCUUGAUGAAAUUAAUGCAUGGAUAACGGUCUCCAAGUCCCUGAAUAAAAGAAAAGAUUCAAAAUUCCUGAGCUGAAAAAAUGCUAAUUUGACAACUGAGUUUAUUUGUUUGUCAAAUUUAAGUGUAGGGUCAAAAAUAAAUCCCUAAUUUCUUGCAUAAAUACCUACAGUGUUAGUUAUAGGAACCAAUGUUUUUGAGAAGAUAUUGGCAGAACCCAGACAUCCAAAAACAUUUCAGUCUUAGAGUCGUUUAAUUGAAGGAAUUUAUCCUCCAUCCAACUUUGAACUUCACUGAAACAACCAAGUAAUGACUGGAGAGACAUAACUGGUAGAUAAAGCUGUUUUUCAUCUGCAUAACAAUGAUAUGAAAUCUGAUGCUUAUGAAAAAUAUUGGUUAAUGGAAGAAGAUAGAGGUAAAACAAAACAGGGCCUAAAACAGAUCCCUGUGGCACACCACAUGUACAUGCAGCAGAGGAUGAAGUAAAGU
rnacentral:lncRNA from 1 species